rnacentral:tRNA from 1 species
GCCUGGGUGGCUCAGUCGGUGAAGCGUCCGACUUCGGCUCAGGCCACGAUCUCGCAGUUUGUGGGUCGAGCCCCACUUCGGGCU